UAAAAAGUAAAAGGAAGAAAGGGAUCUGAACAGAGAAUGGGUUAGGCACAAAAGAGAAGAGAAGAGAAGAGAAGGGUUCGAAGAAGCAAAAUCAUAGGGGAAGAGAAGGGUUUGAGCACCGAAUACUGUUCAAAACAUUCACUCUUUGGCUUUUAAAUGGCUGAACAUAGAAUACUGUUUAAGGAGGAAAACUGAGAAGAAAGGAAGAAGAGGGAGGCUUCGAACGGUAAGGGUUUCAAAUGACAACGUGUUUGACAAAAGUCCCAAGUGAGGUGAGCUUCCUCUUGCUUUGAUACUCUUUUUUCAUUUGAUUACUUUGGUUGAUUGUAUAUUAUAAUUUUUAGCCUAAUUUGUACUCUCUUUUUUUAUCUGUUAAAAAUGGUUGAGAGGAAAAGUGAAAGCUAUUCCUUUUGGGGAUAGUUUGGUGAUAAUGGGAAGCACCAAGGUAAAAAUCCCCCCUAAGAAAACAAUCACUUUGUCAUCCCUUAUUGCUCGAUGAUUGGCCCAUAAAGGUGGUGUUGAUGAGCCAUUUGCAUGGGAAAGCAAAGAGUAUUUAAGGAAACUAUGUAUGGGAAAGGAUGUCACAUUCAAAGUGGAUUAUACUGUACCAUCUAUUGGGCGAGAAUUUGGCUCUAUUUUCCUUAGUGAUGAGAAUGUUGCAUUGAUGGUUAUUUUUAAGGGCUGGGUAAAGGUUGGGGAGCAGGGUCAACAGAAAGGAGAUGCUAGUCCUUUCUUAAAAGAACUGCUACGUCUUGAAGAGCAAGCCAUACAACAAGGGCUAGGACAUUGGACUAGGGCUGUGCAGGAGAUCUGUUCCUUGGGUAGUUGUCGGUUAUGGUGUCCCUAUGAAGCUUGUUGUUCUGCUGUAACCAGAUAGUGAUAUAUGUUAUGAUCUUGAAGGUCAUGGUACAGAGUUAUCGCGGCUAGUCAUACAUAUGGAGGCUUUUUAGUUUGUCUACAAGUCUUUGUGUUACCACUGCUUAUUG